UGGGGAAUAUUGGACAAUGGGCGCAAGCCUGAUCCAGCCAUGCCGCGUGAGUGAUGAAGGCCCUAGGGUUGUAAAGCUCUUUUGUGCGGGAAGAUAAUGACGGUACCGCAAGAAUAAGCCCCGGCUAACUUCGUGCCAGCAGCCGCGGUGAUACGAAGGGGGCUAGCGUUGCUCGGAAUCACUGGGCGUAAAGGGUGCGUAGGCGGGUCUUUAAGUCAGGGGUGAAAUCCUGGAGCUCAACUCCAGAACUGCCUUUGAUACUGAGGAUCUUGAGUUCGGGAGAGGUGAGUGGAACUGCGAGUGUAGAGGUGAAAUUCGUAGAUAUUCGCAAGAACACCAGUGGCGAAGGCGGCUCACCGGCCCGAUACUGACGCUGAGGCACGAAAGCGUGGGGAGCAAACA
rnacentral:rRNA from 1 species